UAAAAAUAACAACAAAUUACGGGCCUAGGUCCAACAAUUAGUUAUUAUUUUUGUUAAAAAUAUUAUUAAUAGUAAUAAUAUUGAGGAGCGCGGAAAGUAACCUAGAAAUAAAAAGAAGGGAUGCCUGAUGAAUGAUUCAGUGUUGAAUAUCGUAAGGGCGCUUUAUCAAAUAUAUAAUAAUUGCUCGCAUGAUACAUUUAUCGAAAGAACAUAAAAAUUACGAUACGUGGAAAUUGCAAAUGGAAGCGAUACGUGGAAAUUGCAAAUGGAAGCGACACGAGGAAAUUGCAAAUGGAAGCGAUACGUGGAAAUUGCAAAUGGAAGCGAUACGUGGGAAUUGCAAAUGGAGGCGAUACUCAUCAAAGAUGAAUUGUGGAAUAACGGUUCAAUAAUCAGACCUGAAACAGCGAAUAAAGCCUCUUUAUGGGAUAAAAUGAAGCAUGCCGAAUACAUACGAAAAUUUUAGAUGUGCGAUCGAAUCGCGGGAUCACUUAUUUACUCCAGAUGCGCUUAAGAUAAAAUUACUAAAAGAAGCUAAUUCUCGUCAUAAUUCAAAUGCUAUGCAUGAUCACCAGAAAGUUCUACAAGUGAAAGAUCCAAAUAAACACACGAGGUAUGAUAAAAAUAGAAAUUCUUCAAAUAAAAAUGGAUUUACUAAAGCUAAUAAAGUAAAACAUAUGGAAUGUUUUUAUUGCCACGAACGUGGACAUAAGGCAAAUCAAUGCACGAAGAAGAACAAUGUUUAAGUGCUUCCAGUAUUAGGGAUGAAGAUAGUCGGUGACAUAAACUGUUUUGAAUCUAUAGAGCAAAUCAAAAAUCAAAAGGUGAAAUUAGCAAAUGAUGAGUUAGCUGAACAUGAAGAAUUAAAAGCAAAUUUAAUCUCAGUAUCAAAAGUAACAGCAAAUGGAAAACGAAUCGUAUUUACAAAUAAAAUAGCUACCAUAAUGGCUAACGAGAUUGUUAUUUCUGUUAAGCAUAGAAGGGAUUUAUAUAUUGUAGACACAAAAUCCAAAUACUCUGGCAAUGUCAAAAACAGACCCUCGACAAAAAUGGAGCUUUACAAUGAUAAAUAUCUACCAGAUAUGUCAUGACGUUGAUACCCUUCUCAAUAUCCGGGUAAAAUUGCAUCCAUGUUCGUUGACAGAUUAAACUGCGUUCCUAAAAGAGAAGCAUCAUGUUGCAUCAUGUCCCACGAUACACAUGUGGGGUCUUCAUCAGGCAGCACUCAAUCAUGAGUAAAUCCAAAAGAUAUAAUAAGAUAUUUAACAAAAUUGUCAACAUCAAUGAAGAUUGUUCUGAGAAUACCUCCGGAGAAAAUCAGUAUGAAUUAGGCCAAUGCAAAGUAGACAUUGAAAGUUCUGAAUACAUUGGAAGCAGAAAGAUAGAAGGAUAUUCAGAUAGUGAAGAGGAACACUUCCUGAAAGUGUGUCAUAACAAGAAAAGGGGUCUACUGGCUAUGCUAAGGGAAAUAUUAUAUCGGGUUAUGUAACUAGUGCUUUCGAAUUCAUAAUUGACAGACACAUAAUGGAACACGGAAACGAUUGCACCGAAACCGAGGCGCAUCGAGUUUUGAAAAAGGACUGGACAAUCACAGUUGCUGAGUUGGAAGUUUUCUAGGAAUUCUAUAUAUCCGGUGCGCAUAUGAAGCGAGAUCAUUGAAAGCCUCUGAAAGAUUACAAACAGAUAAAUUUGCGCUGCUAUCCGAAAUAUGGAACAGAUUUAUAAGUAAUAGCCAGGCCUGUUACAAGUCAUAUGAAAAUAUCUCAGUAGAUGUACAAUUAUUUCCAACGAAAGCCUGAUGCAGGUUUAUGCAAUAUAUACCGAAUAAGCCUCGUAAAUGUGGCAUUAAGUUUUGGUUAGCAGUUGACGUAAUAUAUUUUGAAUGGCUUCCCUUAUAUGGGAAAAGAUGAAACUCGAUGCUCAAGAGAAAAAAGGAAAAGAUGACAUUGUUUUCCUCAAAUUUAUAUAAAUCAGAAAACUGCACACUUACUGUGUAUAAAAGUAAACCUAAAGUAAAAGUUCUCCUUCUAAGCACCAAACAUACAGGUGUACGAAUAGAAGAUAGCUAUAAACGUGUUCCAGAAACCAUUGCUUUUUACAAUAAAACAAAGUAUGGUGUUGACCAAAUGGCAUGCAAAUAUAGCGUGAAAGCAAGGAGUUUCCGAUGGCCCCUUCAAGUAUUUUUCAAUAUUUUCGAUUUUGCAGCGAUAAACGCGUGUAUACUAUAUAAAGAAUAUACCAGAUAGAAAAUAUCCAGAAAGGAAUUCAUUUUCUGUUUAGCCGAGGAAUUAACUGGAGAAAACAAGGACAACAUUUGCCAAGGAACAGACGCUUCAUUCCUGUCACAUUCAACGUCAGAAGUGCGAAAAAGUUGCCUAUAUUGUUAUUUUUUUAGUAUUAAUUUAAAAAAAGACUUUAUUUAUUAAUAAUUUAUUUAAACGUGAAGCCUAAUAUUCAGACUUAAUCUGAAUAGAUCGAUUUUUUAAUGAAAAAUGCAUAUUUCCGUUUACUCGUCAAUUUGUCGGGUCCCGUAGAGAUAGUUAUAUUACAUACAGAUUUAAAGAAUUAGAAAGCCUAGGAAAAAAUAAUUUUGUGUAUAAAUUCUUUGGAUGAAAUGAUUAAUUUACGAUGCAAAAUGGCUAAAAUUGGUGCUAUGGUUUUUGAGAUAUUUCAUUUCAAAGUUCGAAAUCCGUCAAAUUGACGAGU
rnacentral:lncRNA from 1 species